rnacentral:rRNA from 1 species
ACACUCCUACGGGAGGCAGCAGUGGGGAAUAUUGGACAAUGGGCGCAAGCCUGAUCCAGCCAUGCCGCGUGAGUGAUGAAGGCCCUAGGGUUGUAAAGCUCUUUCACCGGUGAAGAUAAUGACGGUAACCGGAGAAGAAGCCCCGGCUAACUUCGUGCCAGCAGCCGCGGUAAUACGAAGGGGGCUAGCGUUGUUCGGAUUUACUGGGCGUAAAGCGCACGUAGGCGGACUAUUAAGUCAGGGGUGAAAUCCCGGGGCUCAACCCCGGAACUGCCUGUGAUACUGGUAGUCUUGAGUUCGAGGGAGGUGGGUGGAAUUCCGAGUGUAGAGGUGAAAUUCGUAGAUAGUCGGAGGAACACCAGUGGCGAAGGCGGCUCACUGGCUCGAUACUGACGCUGAGGUGCGAAAGCGUGGGGAGCAAACAGGAUUAGAAACCCCUGUAGUCCC